CGAGGUUGUUAAAGGAAGAGGAAAAGGCUUCAGAACUGAACUAACACAGAUCCUCUACAGACCGAGAAAGCGGACACACAGCUCCAGAGUGGUAGUAAACAAACAGUCAAAGGAAAUCUAGUUGCCACAUCUAGAAAUGGCAGAGGUAAAACAACAGAACAUAUUGCCCCCCCUCAUCCCCUAUCCUGAGGGGAUGACAGAUGAAAAGGAAAAGAAAAUAUAUAAAAAAAAGAUUUUGCAGGGAAAGCCAGAGACUUUAUAUCGUGAUGAAAGAAAAAAGGCUCCAUGCGACCUCAUUUUCUACACAACAAAUGUUUCUAUAUGGGAAGAGGAAAUACUGAAACACUAUCCUGAGGGAAAACAGUGGGAUGAAAGAUCUAAGGAAUAUUUCAAACAACUGAAAACGAAGGCAGGCACUAUAAAUGUGUAUUAUACUACUGGGAUAAUCAUGGUGCAGGAUAAUAGUGAGACGUUAAUGAUAUUCCCAAAUGAUUUCCCAGCCUUGAGAGAGCGAGUGAGACAGAGCGUCGGGACGACAGAGGAUGUCUUGAAGAAAAUGGCAGAGCUAGGCAUUGAGGAAAGAGGAGAGCAGAGGAAAAGAGAGAGCGAGGACAUAAAAGAGGAAGACAUAAAACAGGAAGCUAUAAAGGUGGAAAUAAAGGAAGAGGUGGAAGGAGGUAACGGGAAGCACUAAACAUUCCAGGGCAGAUCAGAAGAGAAACAUUAUUUUACGGGAUGUAUAAUUUGACGAACAGUUAUAAUAAAGCCUGCUGUUCCUCUCACCUUAUUAUUUGAAUGUUGUAUCUUUUACCUUUUAAUGUUUGUUUUUUGAGCUUGUAUGAAAAAUGCAUUCAUAAGUGCUCACCAUCAUCAUUAUCUUGCUUUGGUUAUAGUUUAUCACUUUCCCAAUAAUAAAGGUGCUUAAAGCAAAAAGGUGGUGGUCCCUGUGAAUUUCCCCAGCAAUAUGUGUUUCAUUUUGUUUCAAAAUGUGUGUUCUAAAAUGUAUCAAGAUUUUAAACGCAAUUCUAAUAAAGUUUGAUUUAACAAGUGUCAGGAGUCAGUGUCACGAACCGGCUCAAAGCCCGUAACAAAGGGAGACAACGUGGAGAUAAGGAUUAACAAAAUAUAUAUUUAUUAACUAAAGCAACUAAGGAAAAUAUACAAUGGUGUGUGUAAUCAGUAGUGUAAGUGAGUGUUUUGCAUGCAUGAAUGUGAUAAUGCAGGGUGUUGAAAGGUGCUGUCGCAAACAACCCAAAAACCACCAAGAAACACAACAAAAUCCAUAAAGGUGUCUGCAUGGAGAGAGUCUCUUCCAUGAAUGUGGAAGAGGUCUAUUUAUCCUGGGAGACACCUGGCCCAGGUGUUUCCCAUGAAGCUGACGACCCUCCCAACUCCGCCCCCCGGCAUCCUAAUAAGGAAACAAGAACAAAGACAUAAUACGGCAGACAGAGUGGGAGGGUCGUCACAUCAGGACGUACUAUAUGUACAGUACCCUGCCCCCAUAUCCCAAUUUUUGCCACCUGUAAGUGAGAAACCUACAUGACAAGUACUGACCAUGUAUUGUGUUCCCUAUGGUUAAAGAACAGAGCAGAAGCGCUGAACUCUCUGUUCAGAACUCAGACCUACAGGUUAUGGAACAUUUGCUCUUUUAGUAUUUCUGCAGUAUGUUUCCUCAAGGAGAAGGCUUCCCACUUCUAUGUCAAAGAUAAUGCAACAAAAACACUUUAGUGAAUACUACAGUAAUGUGCCCAAAAACACAACCGUAAACACUACAGGAUACUACAGUCCGCAAAAACACUACAGUACACUACAAGCGGUCUUUUGUUAGAUAACAGGAGCCAGGUACGAGAUAACGUAUCGAGCAUGAGCGCAUAGAUAUUCUUCACAGCAAGUUACAUCUAUCAACUGGAGCGCCCUGGGGCUGGUACCAGCUCGUACGACAACAAUCAAUAAUAGGCUGGGUGAGUCUAAACCACGCCCAUUCUCUACGAACACUGUUUACAUACAUCUUGUCAGUUCUCUGUUCUGCCCUGCGUGGUAUUACAGUGAGCCCGUAUAUACGAAAGUUGCAUAGUAUAUAAUCGGUGACUCAUUGUUAUAUUUAUCCUGAUACCAGAUUCGAAUUUACGCAACUCUAACAGUAUUCACUGUAGUGUUUCUGCAGACUCCAGUCCGCAAAAAACUCUAUGGUGAAAUGGAGAGGUGAGUCCCUGGAUGACUCUUUUCCAGUCGCUAGUGAAAGUCUACACACACCUUGCACUGUCUGCACUGUCCUGCCUGAAGGAAUUAUCUGUGUAGGUCACACUACUUCUAGAAGGGGCACUGGCACUCUGGAUCAGAUCAAAUGGUGUUUUGUCACGUGCCGAAAAAACAGACUUUAGAGUGAAACGUUUACUUACAAGCUGGGAAACCAUUUGAUUAAAGAGUGACUGUCCCUAAAAAGCAAGUAACGCUUUGAAAACAGCUUAUGUGGCAUCGAUAUGAGUCAGAAACCUUUUGACUACAAAGGGGCCUCCUGCGUGGCGCAGUGGUGUAAGGCACUGCUACAGUGCUAUAGGUGUCACUACAGACCCGGGUUCGAUCCCGAUCCAGCAGGAAGGACAGGCACUAACAGCCAUCUUGGCUGACUGUUGGUAGCAGUCCUUCUCUGUACCAACCCACAGCAUGUAGGUAUGAUUAGGUGCCUGUUACUGCUGUAAACCCAGGUUUACCCUGUUAGUGCUGUUAGCUCGGAGAUUACCCCUCAGCCUCUGCUGGGUAGGACCAUUGUCCUCUGGUCUGAUGGAACAAUAAUAUAACUUUUUGGCCAUAAUGACCAUUUGUUACAGUGGGGCAAAAAAGUAUUUAGUCAGCCACCAAUUGUGCAAGUUCUCCCACUUAAAAAGAUGAGGCAUGUAUUUUUCCUCAUAUGUACACUUCAACUAUGACAGACAACAUGAGGGAAAAAAAUCCAGAAAAUCAAAUUGUAGGAUUUUAAUGAAUUUAUUUGCAAAUUAUGGUGGAAAAUACGUAUUUGGUCACCUACAAACAAGCAAGAUUUCUGGCUCUCACAGACCUGUAACUUCUUCUUUAAGAGGCUCCUCUAUCCUCCACUCGUUACCUAUAUUAAUGGCACCUGUUUGAACUUGUUAUCAGUAUAAAAGACACCUGUCCACAACCUCAAACAGUCACACUCCAAACUCCACUAUGGUCAAGACCAAAGAUCUGUCAAAGGACACCAGAAACAAAAUUGUAGACCUGCACCAGGCUGGGAAGACUGAAUCUGCAAUAGGUAAGCAGCUUGGUUUGAAGAAAUCAACUGUGGGAGCAAUUAUUAGGAAAUGGAAGACAUACAAGACCACUGAUAAUCUCCCUUGAUCUGGGGCUCCAUGCAAGAUCUCACCGCAUGGGGUCAAAAUGAUCCCAGAACCACACGGGGGGACCUAGUGAAUGACCUGCAGAGAGCUGGGACCAAAGUAACAAAGCCUACCAUCAGCAAGGGCAUUGAAGAUUAAACGUGGCUGGGUCUUUCAGCAUGACAAUGAUCCCAAACACACCGCCCGGGCAACGAAGGAGUGGCUUCGUAAGAAGCAUUUCAAGGCCUAGCCAGUCUCCAGAUCUCAACCCCAUAGAAAAUCUUUGGAGGGAGUUGAAAGUCUGUGUUGCCCAGCAACAGCCCCAAAACAUCACUGCUCUAGAGGAGAUCUGCAUGGAGGAAUGGGCCAAAAUACCAGCAACAGUGUGUGAAAACCUUGUGAAGACUUACAGAAAACGUUUGACCUCUGUCAUUGCCAACAAAGGGUAUAUAACAAAGUAUUGAGAAACUUUUGUUAUUGACCAAAUACUUAUUUUCCACCAUAAUUUGCAGUAAAUUCAUUACAAAUCCUACAAUGUGAUUUUCUGGAUUUUUUUUCUUCUAAUUUUGUCUGUCAUAGUUGAAGUGUACCUAUGAUGAAAAUUACAGGCCUCUCAUCUUGUUAAAUGGGAGAACUUGCACAAUUGGUGGCUGACUAAAUACUUUUUUGCCCCACUGUAUGUUUGGAGGAAAAAGAGGGAUGCUUGCAAGCCGAGGAACACCAUCCCAACCGUGAAGCUGGGGGUGGCAGAAUCAUGUUGUGGGGGUGCUUUGCUGCAGGAGGAGCUGGUGCACUUCACAAAAUAGAUGGCGUCAUGAGGACGGAAAAUUAUGUGGAUAUAUUAAAGCAACAUCAAGACAUCAAUCAGGUAGUUAAAGCUUGGUCGCAAAUGGGUCUUCCAAAUGGACAAUAACCCCAAGCAUACUUCCAAAGCUGUGGCAAAAUGGCUUAAGGCCAACAAAGUCAAGGUAUUUGAGUAGACAACACAAAGCUCUGACCUCAAUCCUAUAGACAAUUUGUGGGCUGAACUGAAAAAGCGUGUGUGAGCAAGGAGGUCUACAAACCUGACUCAGUUACACCAGCUCUGUCAGGAGGAAUGGGCCAACAUUCACCCAACUUAUUGUAGGAAGCUUGUGGAAGCCUACCCGAAAUGUUUGACCCAAGUUAAUUUAAAGGCAAUGCUACCAAAUACUAAUUGAGUGUAUGUAAACUUUUGACCCACUAGGAAUGUGAUGAAAGAAAUAAAAUCUGAAAUAAAUCAUUCUGACAAAUUAUUCUGACAUUCUUAAAAUAAAGUGGUGAUCCUCACUGGCGUAAAACAGGGAAUGUUUACUAGGAUUAAAUAUCAGGAAUUGUGAAAAACUGAGUUUAAAUGUAUUUGGCUCAGGUGUAUGUUAACUUCCGACUGUAUAAUAUCAAUUGUGAAUGAUGCCCAGCUUGUGUGCAGUAAGGCAAGAAACGCAUGCCUUUUUUUGUGACUUUUUCGACUCAUAGUCCCACACCUCAUGUAGCCUUGCCCAUAGGCCUAUGUUUUGAUAAGGUUUGUAUCACAACUAAAGUGGCCAAAUAACUUCUUACAAUUAAGCACAUUAGGCUCUACACCCAUUGUAAAGCGGAUUAACUGGCAUACUGUACAUACGCAGCACGUGAGUUUCAAGUUUGGGGAAGAUCAUUUUCACCAUAAAAAUACACUUUUAAUCACUUUACCCCUACCUACAUGUACAAAUUACCUCGACUAACCUGUACCCCCGCACAUUGACUCUGUACCAGUACCCCCUGCAUGUAGCCUCAUUAUUGUUAUUUUAUUGUGCUACUCAAGAAAAUAUUAACUAAAUAAACUAAACUCUAUUUAUUGAACUGCAUUGUUGGUUAGGGGCUUGUAAGAAAGCAUUUUAUGGUAAGGUUGUAUUCGGCGCAUGUGGCUAAUUUGAUUUCUAAUAAAAGCAUGACAUGGAUAAUCGGAUUUGCGGUCACUUUUGAGAUUGGUGUUUUCCUGCUAAUGGAAAGUUUGCGCUUAUAGCCUACUGCAAUGUGAGCAUUGCUGCACUUAUAAUGUCACGAAAUAGAGCAAUAGUUUAUCAACAUUUUAAGCUAAACGUUCUAAAUCUGUUGUGUCAGCCACAUUGCUUAAAACAUAUAUUUUGAAGCUAGUGGUUGUAUUAAUUUGGGAUCUAUCCCAUCCCACAACUGCCCCAGACUUGUUUGGAAUAUUUAUUUCUUGCACAGAAUAGAAUAGGUAAACUUUUGUACUAUGGGGUAUAGUAGAUUGAUAUAGGCUAGUGUUUUUGCUGUUUGUUAGGCCGACCCAUCUUGUUGGCUGAUGAAAAGUAAAUAUGGACAGUUCUUCUAAUAUCUCCAAUAUGCUCCAAUAUGUGUAUGUCUUCACUUGUAGCCUGUGAGAAAAAGCCAAUCAUGUGAAGGAGAGCCACUUGAGUGAGAGGUGCUUUGGAUCAUGCAGCCGGGAGAAGGGAAUUAUAAUGAUUAUAUUCACCCCAAGGGCACAACAGCCACUGCCCGCAAAAGGCAUGGCUUUUUUUUUAGGGGGCAUUAUGGUCACACAAAGGGGAUACCGCAGGACAUUUGAGGAAUUAUUAAGUGCUUGUCAAAAUGUGAAUGAGAGCCUGAUGAAGUGUGUACAGCCUGCGCAAACAAAUAAAAGCAGAGUUGAACAGUUUUGAACAAAUUUAAUUUCUUCCAAAAUGAAGGAGAAGCAAGACCGAAAUAGAGACAGAGAUUGUCAUUUCUUUUUCAGUUUCACUUACUUAGCUAGCAAAUGCAGCUAGCUAGUUUAGCCUACGGAAACACCCUGCUUAAACAGAGGGAUGCUAUGACUUUCCACCACAACACGAACUCUUCCAUGUCAAGGUAAGCUUUUGGUAUUACUAAUUUAUUGCCACAGACUCGCCGGUGUCACUGCUUACUGACUGUACACUAAUAUUACUGCAGGCUUACUAAUGCCUUAAUUCUAUUAGCUAUGCUGACUAUGAUGUUACUUUAGAUAAUAUGGUGACAACGAUGUACGCUUUGUUUAGCGGUUUGGCUUGGAAAGGUUUUUUCGCCAGGUCACAUACAGCUGAUGUGUUGGCAUUGAAGUCCACAAGCGAAGGGAAGAGGUGAGAGGAGGAGAGCGCAUGGAUGCGAGAAGGAAUACAACGUGGCUGCUAUGAAAGUGACCUGUGUUUACGCGUGAUUAGGGGUGUAUUCAUUCUGCCGAUUCUGUUGAAAAACGUUUCUUAAACGGAAGAAAACCGGGUAAGCACACAUUAAUUUGUUCAAUAUCAACUCUCGUUUGCAGCUGUUGGACUAAUGAUUACACCCUAUAUCAGCUAGAUGCAGGUAAGAGAGUGCAAGGCGGUAUUGAAUGGCACUGUCUGUCACCUCAAACCUGUGUGCACCUACAUUGUAGACUUUCAUUCGUAGGCUAGGUUGUAGCAACCUCAUGAUGGGUAUAGGGAAAAUUUGAGUAUCAUGUAGUAGCCUAAACCUAUCGCUGUUACAUUGAACUGGGUGAAUGGAAUAUGUCAUCCAGUCAUCCAAUAUGCUGUAAUAGAAAUAAGGUAAUGCUCAUAAAUCAUCUUCCUUUCUCUUAAAUGGCACUGACCAUAAACGGUUGCAUUCAUGAGUUUUAUUGGCAAAUGUCAAAACCUGAUAAAAAUGAAUUUAUAUGAAUGCUGUAAGUACAGAAAUGGUUUGCUCAGUAGGAUAUGAAUAUGCAACUAGUCAGUGACAACUGUGGAGUACUAAUGAAUGCAGAAGAAAUAGACUAAUUCAAUGGCACAACCAAUAAGUCUGUAGGUCAAACGUGAUGUUGAAUACAAUGUUUAAAAGGGGGUAGAGGUCAAAAUCGUGAUGGUGUCUCAUUGAGUUAAUUACCGUGAAACACACUUAAAGAGGAGCAAACACUUUUGUAGUUUCUAUUAGUUUCAUAAAUACAAUCCCGUCUCUUACACUCUAGGUCGCAAUGCUGGGUCGGGGCCCUUCCCAAUGGUGGACGUCCCAGACCACCACCAUCACACCCUUGGCUCCGUCAUCUUUGCUGUAGGCAACACAGGCAUGGUGGGAAACUUCCUCAUCAUGUACACCUUCUGCAGGAGUAAGAGUUUGCGUACUCCGGCCAACAUGUUCAUUAUUAACCUGGCGUUAACAGACUUCCUCAUGUGUGUGACUCAGACCCCCAUCUUCUUCAUCAACAGCAUGCAUAACAGGUGGAUCUUUGGAGAAAAAGGCUGGCAAUCAGUAAGUACAUCCCAUGUAUGGGUGUGUUGCUGUGUGUUCCUACCAGAGAUCGUUAUAGCAGCUUCAUGUGCUCCACCCGUCGUUCAUCCCUCACCAGUACAUCUGACCCUUGCAAGACUGGCAAGUGCCGCUUCUCCUCCCUGUACAACAGUGAAUCAGGCCUUACGGAGGCGGAACUCUCCUCUCGUCCGGCCAGUCGUCAGGUGUCUAGUGAUGUCACCCAGCUCCACCCUACCUUCUCUCAGAGGUCAAAAGUUCAUUGUUCCCUGAAGGUGAAAAGUCCAAACCGCCUCUCAGUCCCCCUCUGACCCUGCUUUCUUCUGCCUGCAACACAUCACUACUCUGACAGAGCCAGAGGACAUCUCCAUAUCUGAAGUCAUUGGUUUUACCAUUGUCCUUCCUGCUACUCUGGAAGAUGUCAGAAAGGAAAAGUCUAAAGACAUAAGUGGGCGUGUCCCUUCCACAUGCCUAAACGACGCGAUCCCUGCCAUCAUCGUCACCUCUAUGGAAAUCCCCUAAAUGGGUGGGGUCUGUUGUGAGAGAACUGCUGGAUGUUGUGCAAUUGGACAAUGUAUGACACAGCUCUGUGUGUCUUUCUCUCCUCCUCUACAGGGCUCUACACUACCAGCAUGGUAUCUAGUGUCUGUGUGUCGUUUCUCUCCUCCUCUAAAGGGCUCUACACUGCCAGCAUGGUAUCUAGUGUCUGUGUGUGUGUAACAGUAUUGCUUCCAUCCCGCUCCUCGCCCCAACUUGGGCUUAAACCAGGGACCCUCUGAACACAUCAUCAACAGUCACCCAAGAAGCAUGGUUACCUAUCGCUCCACAAAAGCUGCUGCUCCUUGCAGAGCAAGGGAAACAACUACUUCAACGUCUCAGAGCGAGUGACGUCACCGAUUUAAACACUAGUAGCACGCACUGCUAACUAGCUAGCCAUUUCACACCGUGUGUGUUUUGUAUUUGUGGAUUUAGAGACGUUUUCCAUUGAGCUGUAGAAAACACAAUCUGAAAACAGUUUCAGUCGGUGACUUUCCUUUUUAUGUUUUUAAACAUGGAGGAUUGUCAAUGUUUUCCUCUCCACAUUUUCUCCCUCCUCCUUUUCCCUCCCUCCUCCCCCACUUUCUCUCCUCCCUCCUGAAUUUAUUUACACAAAGUGUCUGUAGGCUAUUUCUCGCCUUCUCCCUGAAGAAUACACCGUUUUUCUACCCCUCAUGGAAUUAAAGGCAUUGUGUUGGUAUUAUUAUGGGAUCGAGGGAGUUUCUUUUUACAAUAUUCAUUCUUAUUUUUUACCGUUCUACAUUUCAAGGGAAAUGGCAGAAUGGGUCACUGUCUAUUGCUUAUCACCAUUUAGACCUGUCACCUAAGUGUGUGUGUGUGUGUGUGUGGGGGGGGGUUAGGGGAGAAGUUUCUACUGUAUAUGGUCCUAACCCAGUGCCCCAGACAGCACCAUAUUGAUAAGAUAAUAAAGAUAUUGUAAGUGUAUGUGAUAAGGUGAGUGUGUACUCAAUUGUUUUAAUCGUCAUUUCGGCACCAUACACGGCCCUGCCCCAAUUUAAAUGGCACCCUAUUCCCUAGUGUACUACUUUUAACAACAGCCCUAUGUAGGGAACAGGGUAUUAUUUGGGACAGUGUAUUUCUCUGCUGCGCGUCGACUCUAUGGUUGUAAAUGAUCUCUCUGGUGUGCAAAUACAGAUUUAGUUGUGGUUCUGAAUGUUGAUGAGCUGAUUGAUUUGUAAAGUCUUAUAUCGAUGAACUGAUUGAUUUAUGUCUUGUAUUGAGGAAAAUAACAACUUUUCAGCUGUUAUAUAUCAUUGAAAUAUUUCCCAAAACCUUUGUUCUAAAUUAGGUGAGGGUUUAUUGUAGAUUUGUGAUGGAUGUGUAAAACGGUUUAUUUUAGUUUUUUAAAUGUAAUUUUCUAAACAAAUGCAUUACUGGCAGCUGUGUUUUGUUAUCUGGUUGGUUAUGGACUAUGUACCAUCAGCAGUGUAUGUGAGUGUUGUGAGAAGUUGGAUAGAAAAUAAAAGUUUGCUGAUGUGG